AAAUAGACUACCCGGGUAGUCCACGCCGUAAACGAUGGAUACUAGCUGUUUGAGCGCAAGUUUGAGUGGCUAAGCGAAAGUGAUAAGUAUCCCCACCUGGGGAGUACGGGCGCAAGCCUGAAACUCAAAGGAAUUGACGGGGGCCCGCACAAGCGGUGGAGCAUGUGGUUUAAUUCGAUGAUACGCAAGGAACCUUACCAGGGCUUAAAUGUAGAUUGACGUAUUUGGAAACAGAUAUUUCUUCGGACAAUUUACAAGGUGCUGCAUGGUUGUCGUCAGCUCGUGCCGUGAGGUGUCAGGUUAAGUCCUAUAACGAGCGCAACCCCUGUUGUUAGUUGCCAGCGAGUAAUGUCGGGAACUCUAGCAAGACUGCCAGUGUAAACUGUGAGGAAGGUGGGGAUGACGUCAAAUCAUCACGGCCCUUACGUCCUGGGCCACACACGUGCUACAAUGGCCGGUACAGAGAGCAGCCACUUAGCGAUAAGGAGCGAAUCUAUAAAGCCGGUCACAGUUCGGAUCGGAGUCUGCAA
rnacentral:rRNA from 1 species